UACGUAGGGGGCAAGCGUUGUCCGGAUUUACUGGGCGUAAAGCGCCUGUAGGCGGCCUGUCAAGUCCGGCCUGAAAGCCCCCGGCUCAACCGGGGAGGGUGGCUGGAAACUGGCAGGCUAGAGUGCGGGAGAGGAGAGUGGAAUUCCUGGUGUAGCGGUGAAAUGCGCAGAUAUCAGGAAGAACACCCGUGGCGAAGGCGGCUCUCUGGAACGCAACUGACGCUGAGACGCGAAAGCGUGGGGAGCAAACAGG
rnacentral:rRNA from 1 species